rnacentral:miRNA from 1 species
ACUUGUGUGUGUAUGUGUGU